GACGAACGCUGGCGGCGUGCUUAACACAUGCAAGUCGAGCGGAAAGGCUCCUUCGGGGGUACUCGAGCGGCGAACGGGUGAGUAACACGUGAGUAAUCUGCCCUGCGCUCUGGGAUAGCCACCGGAAACGGUGAUUAAUACCGGAUAUGACCGCUACACGCAUGUGUUGGUGGUGGAAAGUUUUUCGGCGCAGGAUGUGCUCGCGGCCUAUCAGCUUGUUGGUGAGGUAAUGGCUCACCAAGGCUUUGACGGGUAGCCGGCCUGAGAGGGUGACCGGUCACACUGGGACUGAGACACGGCCCAGACCCCUACGGGAGGCAGCGGUGGGGAAUAUUGGACAAUGGGCGGAAGCCUGAUCCAGCAACGCCGCGUGAGGGAUGACGGCCUUCGGGUUGUAAACCUCUUUCAGUACCGACGAAGCGAAAGUGACGGUAGGUACAGAAGAAGGACCGGCCAACUACGUGCCAGCCGCCGCAGUAAUAC
rnacentral:rRNA from 1 species